rnacentral:misc_RNA from 1 species
UCAAGCACAGCGUGCGCGGAUCAUCUCGUGGCAUAUUUUGCCACCCGGCACGACCAAGCGCAGCGUUUUGCUGAAGCACGAACACAAGCAGGAGCGGCAGCGCUGCACAUGCCUGCGAAUAGCUCUGCAGCGCCACGCCUCAGCAGCGGCAGCCUGGCGGCAGCGUGCGAGUCGUACGGCGUCGACAGCCGACUGCUCUACAACGACAUUGAGCAACUCUCGAAAAAGCGCUUCGACUACGCGCAACGCCUCAUUUUGUGGAGUCGACUGCUGAGCGCAGCCUCGAUGGUCGCGGCUGGGGCGGCCGGUGUCGCGGUCUACUACCAGCAAGCGCAGAUCUACCGUGUCUGGCGGCUGCGCAACCCCCGCAAGGUACACAGGCUCGUGCAGUUCGCCGUGCUGAGUGGCAGUUUCUGCCUCUGCAACGUGUUGUUUCUCAUUAGCCCCGUCGGCCCCAUGCGCUUACAUGAAAAGGAGCUCUCUCGGACGAAGCAGCUGGACGUCAUUGCUGUCGCUGCACUCGUGCAGGAACAGAACUUCCGAACAGUGUCCGCGUGGGCGCAUGCUGCAGCUGAUGCAGGCCGACUGGCACCCGCCCCCUCCUCGUCCACGGUGCCGCCAUCGCCUGCCGGCGCCGCCACAAACACCAUAGAGUGCGGAAGGGAGGAAGACGGUGGAAUAGGAUCGGAGCCGCAGUCGGUGUGGAGAGAGGUUGUGCUGGAUCCGACGCAGCUGCUGCAGCUGCCUUGUGAGCGCAAGACACAACAGAAACGAGCGGCUCCCGUUGAUAAGGCAAAGACCGGCACUGAUGCAGACAUGCUGGCCGUCAAGAAGCGGCUCUCCUCUCAGUUACUGGUCAACUCCGAAAGUGGCAGCAACUCGGGGCGGGGUGGCAGUGAGGCCACCUCUGCAGCCGAGCCGCCCACAUGGCGACAGCAGCCGCGGCGCGUGUGGAGUCGCACAGCGGACACCGCGGAGCUGCAGCAGUUGAAAGAUGAAUGCGUCGUCAUGUGGGAGGGGCUCGUGGCGGAGAAGACAGCUAUCGUACAGAAAGUCUUUUGAUGUCUCGCCCAUCUCUCUCUCUCUGGUCAACCUCCUUCGUGCGCUGCAAUGGGAAGGGCAUGGCAGGCCAACUAAGAAGGCGACGGCGAGGUCACAGCAAGGCUGCUGGUGUCUAAACGGCCCCCACCCCCACCCCAUUCAGCUCGGUGCAUCUCUGUUCGCGUGUGUACGGGUGCGUUCUUCUUGUCAGGAGUUACAGUGAGUGUUGUAGUUUGAUGCAUCCAUCCUUGAGGCAAUGGCCGCAACACAUACACACACGCACACCGCCCCCCACCCCACCCCUUCUCGUGCCAUCGGCAGCAGCUGCCAUGGGGUGAGGGGGGCUACUUGGCAUCUUUGGUGUGGGGCCCCUUCCUCCACAUGAGGUCGC